rnacentral:rRNA from 1 species
UAGGGAAUCUUCGGCAAUGGGGGCAACCCUGACCGAGCAACGCCGCGUGAGUGAAGAAGGUUUUCGGAUCGUAAAGCUCUGUUGUAAGAGAAGAACGUGUGUGAGAGUGGAAAGUUCACACAGUGACGGUAACUUACCAGAAAGGGACGGCUAACUACGUGCCAGCAGCCGCGGUAAUACGUAGGUCCCGAGCGUUGUCCGGAUUUAUUGGGCGUAAAGCGAGCGCAGGCGGUUUAAUAAGUCUGAAGUUAAAGGCAGUGGCUUAACCAUUGUUCCAUUUGGAAACUGUUAAACUUGAGUGCAGAAGGGGAGAGUGGAAUUCCAUGUGUAGCGGUGAAAUGCGUAGAUAUAUGGAGGAACACCGGUGGCGAAAGCGGCUCUCUGGUCUGUAACUGACGCUGAGGCUCGAAAGCGUGGGGAGCAAACAGG